rnacentral:miRNA from 1 species
GCAAAUCAGCAGCAGACCCUCUCUCCCAGACCCUCCCACCUCCUGGACAGCUCACUAAGAAUGCAGGUUCACAAUAAAUGUAAAAUGGAUGCUGUCCAGGAGGUGGGAGGGUCUGGGAGGGAGGGUCUGCUGCUGAUUGG